rnacentral:rRNA from 1 species
ACAUGCAAGUCGAGCGGUAGCGGGCCUGACCACUCUCGAGUGGUUCUGGCGCCGACGAGCGGCGGACGGGUGCGUAACACGUAGGAAUCUGCCCGGUAGUGGGGGAUAGCCCGGAGAAAUUCGGAUUAAUACCGCAUACGCCCUAUGGGGGAAAGCAGGGGAUCGGUUCGCCGACCUUGCGCUAUCGGAUGAGCCUGCGUCGGAUUAGCUUGUUGGUGGGGUAAAGGCCUACCAAGGCGACGAUCCGUAGCUGGUCUGAGAGGAUGAUCAGCCACACUGGGACUGAGACACGGCCCAGACUCCUACGGGAGGCAGCAGUGGGGAAUAUUGCACAAUGGGCGAAAGCCUGAUGCAGCCAUGCCGCGUGUGUGAAGAAGGCCCUAGGGUUGUAAAGCACUUUCAGUGGGGAGGAAAGGUCGAAGGUUAAUACCCUUUGGCUGUGACGUUACCCACAGAAGAAGCACCGGCUAACUCCGUGCCAGCAGCCGCGGUAAUACGGAGGGUGCGAGCGUUAAUCGGAAUUACUGGGCGUAAAGCGUGCGUAGGCGGCCAUUUAAGUUGGAUGUGAAAGCCCCGGGCUCAACCUGGGAACUGCAUCCAAAACUGGGUGGCUUGAGUGCGAGAGAGGAGUGUGGAAUUUCCUGUGUAGCGGUGAAAUGCGUAGAUAUAGGAAGGAACACCAGUGGCGAAGGCGACACUCUGGCUUGACACUGACGCUGAGGUACGAAAGCGUGGGGAGCAAACAGGAUUAGAUACCCUGGUAGUCCACGCCGUAAACGAUGUCUACUAGUUGUCGGUGGUCUUGUACUGCUGGUAACGCAGCUAACGCGAUAAGUAGACCGCCUGGGGAGUACG